GUACUGGCUCAUGCAUUUGAUAUAGAUGAAAAAAAAUUCAAAUGGAAAAGCUUGGUCCCUUGGGGUACAGAGCAGUCAAUUGGCUGUGUGAAAUGGAUUAGCUGUGGAAGAGGAAACAGCCUGUUGGACAGAUUGCUGCUGUCACUGAAUGUUGGGGUUAAGAAGCUGUACCUGAGUGCUGCCACAGCAAAUCUGUAGGUCCUGAUGUGAUGUUGCUGCAAGUCUCUUGCAAGAAAGAAAAGCACAGCUCUUAAAGGCUCUUAAACAUUUCUAUUUCUUGUAAUAAUUGAGAAUUUUAAAUAUUUUAACUUCAUUGCCCUGUAAAUUGAAGUAAUGGAUCAAGGUAUGGCUGUAGUAGGGAAGGAUUAUCAA
rnacentral:lncRNA from 1 species